GCAUGUGCAAACUAUUUAUAGACAUCAAGAGCAAUUUGUAUGCACUACCAAGCAUUUCUCAGGUAUUCGAUGGGAUAGGCGAAAAUGUGGUUAAUCCCGGAGAAACAUCAAUUGUAACUGCAGAUCAGCCACUUUUGGAAAUCCCUAAUCAAAUUCAGUGGGAAUGGCCUGAUUUGUAAGGAAAAGAUAAGUGUAUCGUAAUGUUUGGUGGAUUGCACAUUGAAAUGACUUGUUAUUAAACUCUGGGU
rnacentral:lncRNA from 1 species